GAUACCCGCUGAACUUAAGCAUAUCAAUAAGCGGAGGAAAAGAAACCAACCGGGAUUGCCUCAGUAACGGCGAGUGAAGCGGCAAGAGCUCAAAUUUGAAAUCUGGCCCCCUCGGGGCUCCGAGUUGUAAUUUGCAGAGGAUGCUUCGGGUGCGGCCCCCGUCUAAGUGCCCUGGAACGGGCCGUCAUAGAGGGUGAGAAUCCCGUCUGGGACGGGGUGUCCGUGCCCGUGUGAAGCUCCUUCGACGAGUCGAGUUGUUUGGGAAUGCAGCUCUAAAUGGGUGGUAAAUUUCAUCUAAAGCUAAAUACUGGCCGGAGACCGAUAGCGCACAAGUAGAGUGAUCGAAAGAUGAAAAGCACUUUGAAAAGAGAGUUAAAUAGCACGUGAAAUUGUUGAAAGGGAAGCGCUUGCGACCAGACUCGCCCGCGGGGUUCAGCCGGCAUUCGUGCCGGUGGACUUCCCCGUGGGCGGGCCAGCGUCGGUUUGGGCGGCCGGUCAAAGGCCCCCGGAAUGUAGUGCCCUUCGGGGCACCUUAUAGCCGGGGGUGCAAUGCGGCCAGCCUGGACCGAGGAACGCGCUUCGGCACGGACGCUGGCAUAAUGGUUGCAAACGACC
rnacentral:rRNA from 1 species